rnacentral:rRNA from 1 species
GGAUGCUCCAUCGGGUCUGCUACAAACGUAGUAUGUACUUAAAUGUGACAUCCAUCCUCGAAGCGAACGUAUAUGUCAUUCAGUUGAUGUAUACGGUUACUUCGUCAUUUACUGUGAGCAAAAUAGGGUGUUCAAAGCAGGCUUAUGCCGUUGAAUACAUUAGCAUGGAAUAAUAAGAUAGGACCUUGGUCUAUUUUGUUGGUUUGUACUCCAAGGUA